rnacentral:rRNA from 1 species
CAGUCGCCGCGGUAAUACGGAGGGUGCAAGCGUUAAUCGGAAUUACUGGGCGUAAAGCGCACGCAGGCGGUCUGACAAGUCAGAUGUGAAAUCCCCGGGCUUAACCUGGGAACUGCAUUUGAAACUGUCAGGCUGGAGUCUUGUAGAGGGGGGUGGAAUUCCAGGUGUAGCGGUGAAAUGCGUAGAGAUCUGGAGGAAUACCGGUGGCGAAGGCAGCCCCCUGGACAAAGACUGACGCUCAGGUGCGAAAGCGUGGGGAGCAAACAGGAUUAGAUACCCGAGUAGUCCCUGUCUCUUAUAC